rnacentral:rRNA from 1 species
AAUAUUGGUCAAUGGACGCAAGUCUGAACCAGCCAUGCCGCGUGCAGGAAGACGGCCUUGUGGGUUGUAAACUGCUUUUCUCAGGGAAGAAAAAGGUCUUGCGAGGCAACUUGCCGGUACAUGAGGAAUAAGCACCGGCUAACUCCGUGCCAGCAGCCGCGGUAAUACGGAGGGUGCAAGCGUUGUCCGGAUUUAUUGGGUUUAAAGGGUGCGUAGGCGGCCUAUUAAGUCAGUGGUGAAAGGUAUCAGCUUAACUGAUGACGUGCCAUUGAAAUAGAUAGGCUUGAGUACAGAGGAGGUAGGCGGAAUUUAUGGUGUAGCGGAAAAUGCAUAGAUUCCAUAAAGAACAACAAUUGAGAAGGCAGCUUAGUAGACUGAGACUGACGCUGAGGCACGAAAGCGGGGAGCAAACACGAGAAUAGAUACCGUGGUAGCCCACGCUGUA